GAUGAACGCUAGCGGCGGGCUUAAUACAUGCAAGUCAAGGGGUAGCAAUACACCGGCGUACGGGUGCGUAACGCGUAUGGAACCUGCCCUUAUCUGGGGGAUAACUCGGGGAAACUCGAGCUAAUACCGCAUAAGAUAGUAGAAUGGCAUCAUUCAGCUAUUAAAGAUUUAUCGGAUAAGGAUGGCCAUGCGUAAGAUUAGAUAGUUGGUGGGGUAACGGCUCACCAAGUCUACGAUCUUUAGGGGCUCUGAGAGGAGAAUCCCCCACACUGGCACUGGGGUACGGGCCAGACUCCUACGGGAGGCAGCAGUAGGGAAUAUUGGGCAAUGGGCGGAAGCCUGACCCAGCCACGCCGCGUGCAGGAAGAAGGCCCUCUGGGUUGUAAACUGCUUUUGAUUGGGAAGAAAGCAUCUCAUGCGUGGGAUUUUGACGGUACCAAUCGAAUAAGCCACGGCUAACUACGUGCCAGCCGCCGCGGUAAAAC
rnacentral:rRNA from 1 species